rnacentral:rRNA from 1 species
GACGAACGCUGGCGGCGUGCCUAACACAUGCAAGUCGAACGGGGAGUUAUUUAUAACUCCUAGUGGCGAACGGGUGAGUAACGCGUAGACAACCUGCCUCUAAAUUGGGGACAACACCGCGAAAGUGGUGCUAAUACCGAAUGUGGUAACUUGGUCGCGUGACUAGGUUAAGAAAGAUGGCCUCUAUAUAUAAGCUAUCGAUUAGAGAUGGGUCUGCGUCUGAUUAGCUAGUUGGUGAGGUAAUGGCUCACCAAGGCGACGAUCAGUAGCCGGUCUGAGAGGAUGAACGGCCACACUGGGACUGAGACACGGCCCAGACUCCUACGGGAGGCAGCAGUGGGGAAUCUUCCGCAAUGGACGAAAGUCUGACGGAGCAACGCCGCGUGAGUGAAGAAGGUCUUCGGAUUGUAAAGCUCUGUCGUUUGGGUCGAACGUGGAUUGUGUGAAUAAUGCAGUCUAAUGACGGUACCAAAGGAGGAACCCACGGCUAACUACGUGCCAGCAGCCGCCGUAA